UACAGAGGCCUCGAGCGUUAGGCGGAAUCACUGGGCUUAAAGCGUGUGUAGGUGGAUGCCUAAGUACCUUGUGAAAUCCCAUGGCUUAACCAUGGAAUUGCUCGGUAUACUGGGUGUCUUGAGCCACUCAGGGGCUACCGGAACAAGCGGUGGAGCGGUGAAAUGCGUAGAUAUCGGGAAGAACACCAGUGGCGAAAGCGCUCUACUGGGCCAUAACUGACACUGAGGGACGAAAGCUAGGGGAGCGAAAGGG
rnacentral:rRNA from 1 species